CCUCCUCCCUUCAGCCCUGAGGAAUACAAAAAGCUACAACAGAGGAAAGAAAAGUCAAUUAAACAGGUCGAAACGUUGGAUCAAAAUGCUUCAAAGCUCGAGGAGCGAAAUGCUUCAAAACCUGAGGAUAGCAAUCCCGGGGAGCGAAAUGCUUCAAAACCUGAGGAUAGCAAUCCCGGGGAGCGAAAUGCUUCAAAACCUAAGGAUAGCAAUCCCGAGGAGCGAAAUGCUUCAAAGCCCGAGGAGCGAAAUGCUUCAAAACCUGAGGAUAGCAAUCCCGAGGAGCGAAAUGCUUCAAAGCCCGAGGAACGAAAUGCUUCAAAACCUGAGGAUAGCAAUCCCGAGGAGCGAAAUGCUUCAAAACCCGAGGAUAGCAAUCCCGAGGAGCGAAAUGCUUCAAAGCCCAAGGAGUGAAAUGCUUCAAAACUUGAGGAUAGCAAUCGUUGAGAACUCCCUAGUUUUUUUACUUCCCCGAGGACUCACGUAUAAAGUUUGCUCAAUUUUUUAGUAUUCAUGGUUGUACUAAUUUUGUAUUGUAAUAUCAACAGCUUCUUAUUUGAAUGUUCAUACGUGUAACAUCUAGAAAAGUUAAAGAUUAUUUUGUAUCUCACUGAUCCCCUUCCAUUUACGUCUUGUUGAAGAUUUUUUUUACAUUAGCCUUUGUUUCCAUUUGUUAUUUUAGUUGGAGCAAUAUAUUUUGUAAGGG
rnacentral:lncRNA from 1 species